rnacentral:rRNA from 1 species
UACGGGGGGAGCAAGCGUUGUUCGGAUUUACUGGGCGUAAAGGGCGCGUAGGCGGCCAGCACAAGUCAGUUGUGAAAUCUCCGAGCUUAACUCGGAACGGUCAACUGAUACUGUGCGGCUAGAGUGCAGAAGGGGCAACUGGAAUUCUUGGUGUAGCGGUGAAAUGCGUAGAGAUCAGCAGGAACCACCCGUGGCGAAGGCGGCCCCCUGGGCCGUACCUGACGCGUGAGGCGGCGAAAAGCGUGGGGAGCAAACACGG